GAACGCAACUCAGCAAUUAACACCUGCACUUGCUUUGCACGCUCGUUGCGUUCCCACACCUGUCUACGUCACUUCCCUUCUGGCUUUCUAUCUCUCUCCCUAUCAUUCCAUUGGACGUCGGCGCAAGCGGUCCAGCAGCGCAAAGCACCCAUAUCGGUCAUCGAGAGAUUACUGAGCUGAAUUUGUCGCCAUAGAAGCCUGCUGGAGUUAUACCACACCAAAUGCCAUGAUACCAUGCAUCCACAUAUGACCUCAGAUGUUGUGUGGAUGCUCUACCAACCAACGAACCAGCGACAGAAACAUGACGCUUUUCAUGUGGUGAACAUGUUUACAUUUCUAUGGAUAUUACCGUACAGGAAAAUGUGUUUUCUCCUGUGGGCCAUCUUCUCCACUAGACUAUGAAAAGCAGGAUUAAUGUGUGAUUUUGAUGUAGAGAUGCAUAUCUUGUUAUUCACGUGUGAAAAUGAUGUACUUAAUAUACGUAAAUUUUAAG